UACGUAGGGUGCAAGCGUUGUCCCGGAAUUAUUGGGCGUAAAGAGCGUGUAGGCGGUUCGGUAAGUCUGCUGUGAAAGUCCAGGGCUCAACCCUGGAAAGCCGGUGGAUACUGUCGGACUAGAGUGCGGAAGAGGCGAGUGGAAUUCCUGGUGUAGCGGUGAAAUGCGCAGAUACUCAGGAGGAACACCAAUGGCGAAGGCAGCUCGCUGGGACGUGACUGACGCUGAGACGCGAAAGCGUGGGGAGCAAACAGG
rnacentral:rRNA from 1 species